rnacentral:rRNA from 1 species
GAUCAUUACCGAGUGAGGGUCCCUGCGUGGGCCCGACCUCUCCACCCGUGUCUACUGUACCAGUGUUGCUUCGGCGGGCCCGCCGUUCUGGCCGCCGGGGGGUAAGGUGUCAUGCCUGCCCCCGGGCCCGUGUCCGCCGGAGGUGAGGGAACUACUGCUGUUGGAGUGUUGUCUGAGUGGGAAAUAGAAUAGUUAAAACUUUCAACAAUGGAUNUCUUGGUUCCGGCAUCGAUGAAGAACGCAGCGAAAUGCGAUAAGUAAUGUGAAUUGCAGAAUUCCGCGAAUCAUCGAAUCUUUGAACGCACAUUGCGCCCUCUGGUAUUCCGGAGGGCAUGCCUGUCCGANCGUCAUUGCCAUCCCUCAAGCCCGGCUUGGGUGUUGGGCCGUCGUCCCCGUUCCCUGGGGACGGGCCUGAAAGGCAGUGGCGGUGNNGGGUCCGGUNCUGGAGCGUUAUGGGGCUUUAUUACUCCNCUCUGCAGGCUGGGCUGGUGCUGGCCCUAAUGGUCUUCCCCAUCAGGUUGACCUCGGAUCAGGUAGGGAUACCCGCUGAACUUAAGCAUAUCAAUAAGCGGAGGAAAAGAAACCAACUGGGAUUGCCUCAGUAACGGCGAGUGAAGCGGCAAAAGCUCAAAUUUGAAAUCUGGCCUCCUGGUCGGGGGUCCGAGUUGUAAUUUGGAGAGGAUGCUUCGGGCCUGGUUCCCAUCUAAGUGCUCAGGAACGGGCUAUCAGAGAGGGUGAGAAUCCCGUCUGGGGUGGGCAAUAGGGUCCGUGUGAAGCUCCUUCGACGAGUCGAGUUGUUUGGGAAUGCAGCUCUAAGUGGGUGGUAAAUUUCAUCUAAAGCUAAAUAUUGGCCGGAGACCGAUAGCGCACAAGUAGAGUGAUCGAAAGAUGAAAAACACUUUGAAAAGAGAGUUAAAGAGCAUGUGAAAUUGUUGAAAGGGAAGCGCUUGCGACCAGACUCAUGCGGGGGGGUUCAGCCGGCACUUGUGGCGGUGCAUUCCCCCCGGUGUGGGCCAGCGUCGGUUUGGAGGGUUGCUGAAAGGCCCCCGGAAUGUAGCGUCCCUUGGGGCGUCUUAUAGCCGGGGGUGGCAUGCGACCGGCCAGACCGAGGAACGCGCUUKGGCUCGGACGCUGGCGUAAUGGUUGCAAGCGGCCCGUCUUGAAACACGGACCAAGGAGUCUAACAUCUACGCGAGUGUUCGGGUGUUAAACCCGUGCGCGCAGUGAAAGCGAAUGGAGGUGGGAGCCCCUCGGGUGCACCAUCGACCGAUCCUGAUGUUCUCGGAUGGAUUUGAGUAGGAGCGUAGCUGUUGGGACCCGAAAGAUGGUGAACUAUGCCUGAAUAGGGCGAAGCCAGAGGAAACUCUGGUGGAGGCUCGCAGCGGUUCUGAC